CGCUGGCGGCGUGCCUAAUACAUGCAAGUCGAGCGGACCAAAGGGAGCUUGCUCCUGGAGGUCAGCGGCGAACGGGUGAGUAACACGUGGGCAACCUGCCUGUAAGACUGGGAUAACAUCGAGAAGUCGGUGCUAAUACCGGAUAAUAAAAAGAACUGCAUGGUUCUUUUUUGAAAGAUGGUUUCGGCUAUCACUUACAGAUGGGCCCGCGGCGCAUUAGCUAGUUGGUGAGGUAACGGCUCACCAAGGCAACGAUGCGUAGCCGACCUGAGAGGGUGAUCGGCCACACUGGGACUGAGACACGGCCCAGACUCCUACGGGAGGCAGCAGUAGGGAAUCUUCCGCAAUGGACGAAAGUCUGACGGAGCAACGCCGCGUGAGUGAUGAAGGUUUUCGGAUCGUAAAACCCUGUUGUUAGGGAAGAACAAGUGCCGUUCGAAAGGGCGGCACCUUGACGGUACCUAACGAGAAAGCCACGGCUAACUACGUG
rnacentral:rRNA from 1 species